rnacentral:rRNA from 1 species
AUUGAACGCUGGCGGCAUGCCUUACACAUGCAAGUCGAACGGCAGCACGGGUGCUUGCACCUGGUGGCGAGUGGCGAACGGGUGAGUAAUGCAUCGGAACGUACCCGGAAGUGGGGGAUAACGUAGCGAAAGUUACGCUAAUACCGCAUAUUCUGUGAGCAGGAAAGAGGGGGAUCGCAAGACCUCUCGCUUUCGGAGCGGCCGAUGUCGGAUUAGCUAGUUGGCGGGGUAAGAGCCCACCAAGGCGACGAUCCGUAGCGGGUCUGAGAGGAUGAUCCGCCACACUGGGACUGAGACACGGCCCAGACUCCUACGGGAGGCAGCAGUGGGGAAUUUUGGACAAUGGGCGCAAGCCUGAUCCAGCCAUGCCGCGUGAGUGAAGAAGGCCUUCGGGUUGUAAAGCUCUUUCGGCUGGGAAGAAAUCGCAUCUCCUAAUACGGGGUGUGGAUGACGGUACCAGCAUAAGAAGCACCGGCUAACUACGUGCCAGCAGCCGCCGUAAUAC